GUGAGGAAUAUUGCGCAAUGGAGGCAACUCUGACGCAGCCAUGCCGCGUGCAGGAAGAAGGCGCUACGCGUUGUAAACUGCUUUUAACCGGGAAGAAACCCCAGGACGUGUCCUGGGUUGACGGUACCGGAGGAAUAAGUACCGGCUAACUUCGUGCCAGCAGCCGCGGUAAUACGAAGGGUGCAAGCGUUAUCCGGAUUCAUUGGGUUUAAAGGGUGCGUAGGCGGAGCGUUAAGUCAGUGGUGAAAUCCUGCAGCUUAACUGUAGACUUGCCAUUGAUACUGGCGCUCUUGAGUGCGCUUGAAGUGGGCGGAAUGUGCCGUGUAGCGGUGAAAUGCUUAGAUAUGGCACAGAACACCAAUUGCGAAGGCAGCUCACUAAGGCGAUACUGACGCUGAGGCACGAAAGCGUGGGGAUCGAACAGGAUUAGAUACCCUUGUAGUCC
rnacentral:rRNA from 1 species